GACAGAGGGUGCGAACGUUGUUCGGAAUUACUGGGCGUAAAGCGCGUGUAGGCGGCCGCGUGUGUCGGGCGUGAAAUCCCACGGCUCAACCGUGGAAGUGCACUCGAAACUGCGCAGCUAGAGUCCUGGAGAGGAAGGUGGAAUGCUUGGUGUAGAGGUGAAAUUCGUAGAUAUUCGCAAGAGCACCAGUGGCGAAGGCGGCUCACUGGCCCGGUACUGACGCUGAGGUGCGAAAGCGUGGGGAGCAAACAGG
rnacentral:rRNA from 1 species